GGUGACGUGUCUGAGCGGCCGAAGGAGCUCGCCUCGAAAGCGAGUGUAGGGCAACCUACCGUGGGUUCAAAUCCCACCGUCACCG
rnacentral:tRNA from 1 species